GACGAACGCUGGCGGCGUGCUUAACACAUGCAAGUCGAACGGAAAGGCCCUGCUUUUGUGGGGUGCUCGAGUGGCGAACGGGUGAGUAACACGUGAGUAACCUGCCCUUGACUUUGGGAUAACUUCAGGAAACUGGGGCUAAUACCGGAUAGGAUCUCCUGCUGCAUGGUGGGGGUUGGAACGUUUCGGCGGUUGGGGAUGGACUCGCGGCUUAUCAGCUUGUUGGUGGGGUAGUGGAUUACCAAGGCUUUGACGGGUAGCCGGCCUGAGAGGGUGACCGGCAACAUUGGGACUGAGAUACGGCCCAGACUCCUACGGGAGGCAGCAGUGGGGAAUAUUGCACAAUGGGAGGAAGCCUGAUGCAGCAACGCAGCGUGCGGGAUGACGGCCUUCGGGUUGUAAACAGCUUUAGCCUGUGACGAAGCGUGAGUGACGGUAAUGGGUAAAGAAGCACCGGCUAACUACGUG
rnacentral:rRNA from 1 species